GUGUGGCCAUAUGCCUUCAUUUCUCUAUGGCAGCAGUCCCUAACCUUUUUGGCACCGGGGACCGGUUUUGUGGAAGACAACGUUCCACAGAUGGAACUAUUCUACCUCAGAUCAUCAGGCGUUAGUCGGAUUCUCAUAAGGAGCACACAACCUACAUCCCUCCCCUGAACAUUUCAAAAUACGGUUUCUGCUCCUAUGAGAAUCUAAUGCCGCUGCUGAUCUGACAGGAGGCGGAGCUCAGGCAGUAAGGCUCCCGGCCACUCAUCUGCUGUGCGGCCGGGUUCCUAACAGACCACGGACACAUAGCCGUUUGCAGCCGGGAGGUUAGGGACUCCUGCUUACGGUGUAUAUCUAGAAGCAGGCUAAUCGAGCUUUAUCCAUCUUCAAACCCAGUAAUGGCCCAUGGAAUGCUUCUCAUGCCUCAAAUCUCUUUGUCUUCCCAUUCUGCUACCUGACUGUAAAGUUCUCACAUGAACUGUGCCACAAUACACAUAUCAAAGACUUGGAACCAAUCCAAAUGCCCAUCAAUCAUAGACUGGAUAAAGAAAAUAUGGUACGUAUACACCAUGAAAUACUAUGCAGCCAUAAAAAAGGAUGAGUUAAUGUCCUUUGCAGGGAUAUGGAUGAAGCUGGAAACCAUAAUUCUCAGCCAACUAACAGAACAGAAAACCAAACACCACAUAUUCUCACUCAAAAGUGGGAGUUGAACAAUCAGAAUACAUGGACACAGGGAGGGGAACAUCACAAACCGGGGCCUGUCGGGGGGUGGGGGGCUAGGGGAGGGACAGCAUUAGGAGAAAUACCUAAUGUACGUGAAGGGUUGAUAGGUGCAGCAAACCAGCAUGGCACAUGUAUACCUAUGUAACAACACUGCACGUAAUGCACAUGUACCCCAGAACUUAAAGUAUGAUAAAAAGGAGAUUAAAAUAUAUAUAUUUACAAAAAAAUGUGCUCACAUGAUUACAUUUGGUAACAUAAUCUCAAGAGUGAUAUCUCAGCAUGUUCACAAUUCCGAUCCAUACUCAAAGUGGAGAGAGUUGUGCAAGAGCAAACGUCAUUGAGGGCCAUUCCUAUUUAUUUAUUUAUUUGUUUAUUUAUUUAUUUUUGAGAUGGAGUUUCUCUCUUGUUGCCCAGGCUGGAAUGCAUUGGGCGAUCUUGGCUCGCUGCAACCUCUGACUCCCAGGUUCAAGUGAUUCUCCUGCCUCAGCCUCCCGAGUAGCUGGGAUUACAAGCAUGCACCACUAUGCCUGGCUAAUUUUGUGUUUUUAGUAGAGACGGGGUUUCACCAUGUUGGUCAGGCUAGUGUUGAACUCCCGCC
rnacentral:lncRNA from 1 species